CUCUAAGAUCUCUUCCUAGUUCUCUCUCAUCUCUUUCUUUUCUUUUUUUUCUCUUUUUCGCCAAACAAGAUAUAUCCCCGGAUUUCUUCACGAUCGGAGGUUCAAAUAAUAUCCGAUCGUCAUGAAAUUUUAACCAAAGGUAGCAGACUCAUAAAGGAUUAUUCUUACCGAAGGAGAUCCAAUGUUAAUGGUUAGAUCUUCCAGAAUUAAUUUCGGAAGUGACUGUCAGUUUCUACAGUAGCGGCGUUGGUUUUCUACACGAUCGGAGGUUCAAACAUUGUCCGAUUAUCUUAAACUUUUAAAGGAAGCAGCUUUGGUUCGAGACAGUUUUUCUGGAGAUUUUGAAGUCUGAUUCGCACAUAAUGCAUACCAUUCUCUUCGUAUUCGAAAGAUCUUCACGUGGAUAUCUUAAACGUCUCAAUCGAAGUUCGGUAGAAGAAGUUAUGGCCGUUUUACCAAGACUGCGCGGAGCAGUGACAUAGCUGGUGACCCGCCGGGUUCGCAAGCAAACGAACGGCGACCCGCCAGCAAAACCCGAGAAAAACGCCGUAGGUAGCUGGCGACUCGCCAACUUCGACGCACAUCCAACCUGGUGACCCGCCAGCUUUGUCCGACAGUUUAUUUCGCGCCCAAAGUCAACCCUAGGUAUAUAUAUAUGCCUAGGAAACGCCUACAAACACAAUUUACACGCUUCCUACCCCAAAAAUACCACUUUUUCACCUAGGAAGAAGAGAGAGCUGAUGUAAAUCCGGGAAGCGCCAAACCAAUAGAAGGAACGAAGGCAUCCAAUGAACCACACCGGAGCUGGGGUCCGUUUCAAACGUCAAUCUGCCUACUUAGACGGUGUCCAAACUCUGAUCCAAGACCACCAUCGUCUUCAUCGUCGAAAUACCUUCACGUGGGUACCUCACACGCCCCAAACGGAGUUCGGAUGAGAGAGUUAUGAUCGUUUUAAGAAAACCGCGUAAUGUAGAAAGAAACACGCGGGCGGGUGUUUUGCCAACCCAAAAACACCCGGUCGGGUUUUUUUGCCGAGAAAUCAGUUUUUGUCUAGAAACUUCACCCGGGUAGGUGAAAUGAGCCGUGAGAAUCACCCGGUCGGGUGUUUUGUCCCAAAUGUGACUUUUUGACCAAGACUUGUUUUGUUUUGCUUCUUUCUCCUAGUAUAAAUACUCUUGCUAGGGUUCAUUUCAAGCAGCUUUUGAAUAUUUGUAAGAGACUAUUUCUCCAUAUUUGAGAGCUCACCUUCUUCAUCUUUUGAAGACUUAUCAAAUUCCUUCGGGUUGCAUUCUAUCUUUUGCCGGGCUAAGGUUGAUUGUAAAGGUAUGCUUGCUAGUUCUUGUGUUGCUAGUUUGUGGAGCCAUUAGGUGUUUGCAUGUGAAAGUGCCUUUGAGAUUUCUUUCUUGUUCUUCACCUAAAUCAUAACACUAAUCCAUCAUCUAUCCUUUUAUCUAUUUUUUCUUGUUCCAUUUCUUGGUUUAUCUUGUUUAUUUGUUGGGUUUAUUUACAAGAAUAAGUCCGGGGCAAAUUCAUGAGUCUUCAAUCUAGAGGAUUCACAUUAAGAGCGAGCAGAGGACAAGUAUUCAUCGCAAGAUUGAAGAGGCCUCCAAUCCGCCCAAUCCAAUUCUAGGAGUUCCUACCUUUAGCUUUAUUUUUGUUCAAACAAUGUUUUUGAAUAUUUCUUUGAAUAUUUCGUUGACUUUUGUGAACAUGUGGAGUUCCUUUUUCUAUGUCUUGGAUCAUGUGGUAAUUUUGAU